CCUACCAAGGCGAUGAUCCGUAGGGGGCGUGAGAGCGUGGCCCCCCACACUGGCACUGAGAUACGGGCCAGACUCCUACGGGAGGCAGCAGUGAGGAAUAUUGCACAAUGGGCGCAAGCCUGAUGCAGCAACGCCGCGUGCGGGACGAAGGCCUUCGGGUCGUAAACCGCUUUUCUGGGGAAAGAGCAAGGACGGUACCUCAGGAAUAAGUCUCGGCUAACUACGUGCCAGCAGCCGCGGUAAAACGUAGGAGGCGAGCGUUAUCCGGAUUUACUGGGCGUAAAGCGCGCGCAGGUGGCUUCGUGAGUCGGACAUGAAAGCUCCUGGCUUAACUGGGAGAGGCUGUUCGAUACUGCGGGGCUUGAGGUUGGGAGAGGGACGCGGAAUUCCCGGUGUAGUGGUGGAAUGCGUAGAUAUCGGGAGGAACACCAGUGGCGCAAGCGGCGUCCUGGCCCACACCUGACGCUGAGGUGCGAAAGCGUGGGUAGCAAACAGGAUUAGAUACCCUGGUAGUCCACGCUGUAAACGAUGUCAACUGGGUGUCGGUAGUUUUACACUAUCGGUGCCGAAGCUAACGCG
rnacentral:rRNA from 1 species